GACGAACCGUGCGAACGUUGUUCGGAAUCAUGGUGCUUAAAGGGCGCGUAGGCGGGCUGUCAAGUCUGGGGUGAAAUGCCGCGGCUCAACCGUGGAACUGCCUUAGAUACUGACGGCCUCGAGGAAGGUAGGGGCAUGCGGAACUGUAGGUGGAGCGGUGAAAUGCGUUGAUAUCUACAGGAACUCCGGUGGCGAAAGCGGCGUGCUGGACCUUUUCUGACACUGAGACACGAAAGCCAGGGGAGCAAACGGG
rnacentral:rRNA from 1 species